rnacentral:rRNA from 1 species
AAAUGGGAGCUUUGCUCCUGGAUUCAGCGGCGGACGGGUGAGUAAUGCCUAGGAAUCUGCCUGGUAGUGGGGGACAACGUUUCGAAAGGAACGCUAAUACCGCAUACGUCCUACGGGAGAAAGCAGGGGACCUUCGGGCCUUGCGCUAUCAGAUGAGCCUAGGUCGGAUUAGCUAGUUGGUGAGGUAAUGGCUCACCAAGGCGACGAUCCGUAACUGGUCUGAGAGGAUGAUCAGUCACACUGGAACUGAGACACGGUCCAGACUCCUACGGGAGGCAGCAGUGGGGAAUAUUGGACAAUGGGCGAAAGCCUGAUCCAGCCAUGCCGCGUGUGUGAAGAAGGUCUUCGGAUUGUAAAGCACUUUAAGUUGGGAGGAAGGGUUGUAGAUUAAUACUCUGCAAUUUUGACGUUACCGACAGAAUAAGCACCGGCUAACUCUGUGCCAGCAGCCGCGGUGAAA